AUGGACACAGUAAAAUUUGUGUCACCAAUCAUUUCCUUCUUCCUCAAAACCCCCAAAUUCCCCACCUCCAUAAAACCUAAAUUAACCCCCACCAAGUUCAGGAGAUCUCCACUGUAUCUCCACCGUGUCUCCACCAUGACAACCCGCCAAUUCCAACAUCCACAAAACCCUAACCAGAUUUAGUUAUCACUUACCAUCAACGCUCUCCUCUCAUUUACUCUCCUCCGCUACCCAAAUUAAGCGUAUGAUUUAGUUCGAUUUUCACUCAGAUCGAUUUUCACUUUCCUCCUCCUGCAGAUGCAGGCGAUGUAAUUCGGAAACAUCUUUAGUGGAGACUCAAAGAGAUCUAAAGUCAAAUGGAACUUCAAUGCAGCAACUGGUCUCUUCGUCCUCUUACACAAGACCAAGCUACUUACGCCGCCUUAGACGCUCAUUUUUGAUGUUUUUCAGCAAAGACUUCUCAAACAAGGUAACUUAAUGUGAAGCUAAUAGAAGCCAGCUGGAGAGCACUGAAGGCAUGAAAAAGUGGCUGUAAAAGUUAUCUAAAUAAAAAAGAGUUUUUGUUUACAAUAAACUAAGGUUUACCCCUAUAAAUAUAUUGUUAUGGAAACUUGGGUUUUAUCCCAUUUAUUUAUUAUAAAAAAGUUUGGUGUUUUAACUCUGAGAAAAUAUUUCCUAACUACGGUCCUUAUGUCUCAUUCCCGCUGCCAAAUUAAUAAACACUGACACCACCCGCUUUGCGCAACGCGUGCCACGCCCGCCCGCCUCCAGGGGUAGGGGUCGGGGGUUGCGACAAGAGAUGGUAUCAGAGCUACAGCCACUGGUUUAAGCCAAUGAAGUGUUCUGUUGACACUUAAAUUCUAAAUAAACUGU